rnacentral:rRNA from 1 species
GACGAACGCUGGCGGCGUGCUUAACACAUGCAAGUCGAACGGUAAGGCCUUUCGGGGUACACGAGUGGCGAACGGGUGAGUAACACGUGGGUGAUCUGCCCUGCACUUUGGGAUAAGCCUGGGAAACUGGGUCUAAUACCGAAUAGGACCAUGGACUUCACGGUUUGUGGUGGAAAGCUUUUGCGGUGUGGGAUGGGCCCGCGGCCUAUCAGCUUGUUGGUGGGGUAAUGGCCUACCAAGGCGACGACGGGUAGCCGGCCUGAGAGGGUGACCGGCCACACUGGGACUGAGAUACGGCCCAGACUCCUACGGGAGGCAGCAGUGGGAAUAUUGCACAAUGGGCGCAAGCCUGAUGCAGCGACGCCGCGUGAGGGAUGACGGCCUUCGGGUUGGUAAACCUCUUUCAGCACAGACGAAGCGCAAGUGACGGUAUGUGCAGAGAAGGACCGGCCAACGUACGU